rnacentral:rRNA from 1 species
GACGAACGCUGGCGGCGUGCUUAACACAUGCAAGUCGAACGGAAAGGCCCUGCUUUUGUGGGGUGCUCGAGUGGCGAACGGGUGAGUAACACGUGAGUAACCUGCCCUUGACUUUGGGAUAACUUCAGGAAACUGGGGCUAAUACCGGAUAGGAGCUCCUGCUGCAUGGUGGGGGUUGGAAAGUUUCGGCGGUUGGGGAUGGACUCGCGGCUUAUCAGCUUGUUGGUGGGGUAGUGGCUUACCAAGGCUUUGACGGGUAGCCGGCCUGAGAGGGUGACCAGCCACAUUGGGACUGAGAUACAGCCCAGACUCCUACGGGAGGCAGCAGUGGGGAAUAUUGCAAAAUGGGCGGAAGCCUGAUGCAGCAACGCCGCGUGCGGGAUGACGGCCUUCGGGUUGUAAACCGCUUUCGCCUGUGACGAAGCGUGAGUGACGGUAAUGGGUAAAGAAGCACCGGCUAACUACGUG